rnacentral:rRNA from 1 species
UGGGGAAUAUUGCACAAUGGGCGCAAGCCUGAUGCAGCCAUGCCGCGUGUGUGAAGAAGGCCUUCGGGUUGUAAAGCACUUUCAGCGGGGAGGAAGGCGAUAAGGUUAAUAACCUUGUCGAUUGACGUUACCCGCAGAAGAAGCACCGGCUAACUCCGUGCCAGCAGCCGCGGUAAUACGGAGGGUGCAAGCGUUAAUCGGAAUUACUGGGCGUAAAGCGCACGCAGGCGGUUUGUUAAGUCAGAUGUGAAAUCCCCGGGCUUAACCCGGGAAUUGCAUCUGAUACUGGUCAGCUAGAGUCUUGUAGAGGGGGGUAGAAUUCCAUGUGUAGCGGUGAAAUGCGUAGAGAUGUGGAGGAAUACCGGUGGCGAAGGCGGCCCCCUGGACAAAGACUGACGCUCAGGUGCGAAAGCGUGGGGAGCAAACAGG